ACGAACGCUGGCGGCGUGCUUAACACCUGCCAGUCGAACGGAAAGGCCCUGCUUUUGUGGGGUGCUCGAGUGGCGAACGGGUGAGUAACACGUGAGUAACCUGCCCUUGACUUUGGGAUAACUUCAGGAAACUGGGGCUAAUACCGGAUAGGAGCUCCUGCUGCAUGGUGGGGGUUGGAAAGUUUCGGCGGUUGGGGAUGGACUCGCGGCUUAUCAGCUUGUUGGUGGGGUAGUGGCUUACCAAGGCUUUGACGGGUAGCCGGCCUGAGAGGGUGACCGGCCACAUUGGGACUGAGAUACGGCCCAGACUCCUACGGGAGGCAGCAGUGGGGAAAAUUGCACAAUGGGCGGAAGCCUGAUGCAGCAACGCCGCGUGCGGGAUGACGGCCUUCGGGUUGUAAACCGCUUUCGCCUGUGACGAAGCGUGAGUGACGGUAAUGGGUAAAGAAGCACCGGCUAACUACGUG
rnacentral:rRNA from 1 species